AUUGAACGCUGGCGGCAGGCCUAACACAUGCACGUCGGGCGAGCGGCGCACGGGUGAGUAAUGUAUGGGGAUCUGCCUGAUGGCGGGGCAUAACUACUGGAACCGGUAGCUAAUAACGCGUACCCUCAGCUGAACCCAUAUGGGAUUAGCUAGUAGGUAAUGUAACGGCUUAACUAGGCGACGAUCCCUAGCUGGUCUGAGAGGAUGAUCAGCCACACUGGGACUGAGAUACGGCCCAGACUCCUACGGGAGUCAGCAGUGGGGAAUAUUGCACAAUGGGCGCAAGCCGGAUGCAGCCAUGCCGCGUGUAUGAAGAAGGCCUUCGGGUUGUAAAGUACUUUCAGUCGGGAGGCGUUACCGACAGAAGAAGCACCGGCUAACGCCGAGCCAGCAGCCGCGGUAAUAC
rnacentral:rRNA from 1 species